AAGCUUCCACCUGUUUCACCUUGAGCGCUUUCGAGGUGAAAUCUGAAACCAACCCCUAGUGGAGAGCACUCAGAGGGAGGGAUAGAAAAGAAAGAGCCGACCACUUGGAUUGGUAGGUGGGAGUUCUAACAUGUAAGGCAACUUACAUUUUUGUCUGGGGCGGCCCCAAGGCCAGCAGAUCUCUGCACUCACCUUCAGAAACUUAAAAGGUUUAUCGGGAGGUCUUAGCGGGGUUCAGCUGCAUAUACAGUGCCGAUGCACCUAAUAGCCUCCCUCUCUUAAGGCUGUAUCCUUAGAACUCCCGCUGUGGGAACAGUGGGCACAAGGUCCAUUCCAAAGACGGGAGGGCUGGAGCCUCCGAUUGCCCAGGUUCAACUCACGUGUCAAUCAACGGUCACAUCCUUUCGAUGACCUCCCCUAACAACCUCUCAUGCUGAGCAGGAUUUCCUGAGGCUCCGACACUUGCCAGGCCUCCAGUGUGGGUCAAGCAAGACCCAUUCUUUGACCAGACCCAGUGCGUCUUCCUUCUCCCUCUGCUUCCUGACCAUCAGGUGUUAGAAAUUCGAGGCUCCACAGGUGACCUGAGAGCACCGUGGACCUCUGUGUCCUCUCCUUGUCAUCCUUCUGGAUUUCACUGCUGUCCCGUGAGGCGGAAUGUCUUUGUUAACACAUCAGAAAGGAGGCCGCAGAGCCCCCGAACUGCCAGACUCGAUGACUGGGUUAUGGAUGCCGGUUGAUGACUGUCUUUGAAACAAUGCAAGAGGAAGAAACCAAGAGCCUAUCACCUUUGCCCCUCAUCAGCAACUCCUGACUGCAAGCCGGUGACUUAUAUAAGCCCCUCCAGUACUCUUGCCUGGAAAAUCCCAUGGAUGGAGGAGCCUGGUAGCCUGCAGUCCAUGGUGUCGCUAAGAGUCGGACACGACUGAGCGACUUCACUUUCACUUUACACUUUGAUGCAUUGGAGAAGGAAAUGGCAACCCACUCCAGUGUUCUUGCCUGGAGAAUCCCAGGGACGGGGGAGCCUGGUGGGCUGCCCUCUAUGGGGUCGCACAGAGUCGGCUGAAGCGACUUAGCAGCAGGUUCCUCAUGGAGAUGGGGGGCGGGGCACAGUCCUUGAGGCGUGAGCCUACUGUGUGCCCCUCUCCUCGGGCUAGAAUAAAGGCCAUCUACCUAUUUCCUGCACACCCUGUCUCUGUAUUUUUCAUUCGGCUUUGGUGUGCGGGGAAGGCCAAGAUUUUGGCCGGCCACACGCCCUGCACUGAGAGUUCAGAGUCGUCACCGCUGGACCGUCAGGGAAGUCCCUCUCUUGUUUCUCUUCUUCAGGUUGCCCGUACGUUCAGAGCUGUUUAUACUUGGGAUCACCCAGUCUUUUCUGUUUUUAGUUUUCUCCUUCCCCUCUUCCCCUUCUUCCGUCUCCUCUUCCUUUCCUGGUUUGUUAUCUUUUUAUUGUCUUCAAACUUUAAACUUCUUAUUUUGUGUUGGGAUAUAGCCUAUUAACAACAUUGUGGUAGUUUGAGGUGAACAGCGAAAGAACUCAGCCAUGCGUACACAUGUAUCCGUUCUCCCCUAAACCCCUCUGCCUUCCAGGCUGGCACGCGACACUGCAUGGAGUUCCAUGUGCUGUACAAUAGGCCCUUGUUGGUUAUUCACUUUGAAUGCAGUGGUGUGUACAUGACCUUCCCAAACUCUCUCUCCUCCCACUGGCAACCUUAAGUUCAUUUUCUAAGUCUGUGAGUCUCUUUCUGUUUUGUAAGUAAGUUCAUUUGUAUCAUUUCUCUUUAGAGUCCACAGGUAAGGGAUGUCACACGAUAUUUCUCCUUCUCUGUCUGACUUAUUUCACUCCGUGUGACAGUCUCUAGGUCCAUCCAUGUUGCUGCAAAUGGCAUUAUUUCAUUCUUUUUAAUGGCUGAGUGAUACUCCUUUGUAUAUAUGUACCACAUCUCCGGGUUGUUAUCUCUUAAAAAAGCUGUAUAAUCACUGUCGAGA
ensembl:lncRNA